AUGUACUUACUGAGAAGAAUACGGUUAGUCUGAAUGGUUAGGUAAUUCAAUGCUUCUAAUAGACAGAAAGUAUCACAACAAGUAUCGUGAGUUCGGAGUCUCGAAAACUAAUCCAUUUCGUUUUCAACAACUUGACCUUUGCAUCUCCCGUCCCUUGCUAUCAUUCAUACAGGUAAAACGAGGAAUUCGCAUCAGUGACUGUACCAUGGCUCAUUCAAUUGAAAAGCUGCAGUCCUUCAACAAGCCCAAGCAAACCGACGAAGCGAUCAGUGAACUACCGACCGAGUUGUUUCAAACUAUUUUCGACUAUCUAGAUGGUCGUACGCUAUUGAAUGCUGCUUUAGUGUCACAUAGGUGGCUAGGGAUUUGCAAAUUAAGAACGUUUCUGAGGAAGAAGAUUCGUACAAGCAUCGCCGUAAAGAAUCUCUGUUUGAUCAUUGGUGCGAUGCCGAACGAAGUUGAACAGUUCAUCAAUCAAUAACUUCAGUAUUGGGUUACAGUACAAUGUGACAUCAUUUAUAUCUUCUUCGUGUACAUCUGAUUAUUUUGAUUUUUUUAAUGUGAGCGCUGCUUAUUGACUUGAGCAUUCCAACUUGAAUAAGUUUGCUGGCAAAAUAAUUUACGUAGCUUACAUUGAAAAAUGUACUUUUUAAUUAAUUUUAUUAUAUUAUUCUGAAUAAUAUUAUUUUUUGACAAUUAUUGUUUUGAGAAAAAUGACGAUUAUGAGAAUUUGAACUGUCAGUAUUAAAAUAUUUGUAAAUAUACUUGAAAAAAAUACCAAAUACUUUUUUACUUGAAUUAAUUUUUCAUAAAUCCGGUUAAGUCUAUACGACUUAUAAACCUUAACAGCCAUUCAAAAGUAUGUAUUUUAAACAGGAAUAGACAGUUAUCUACUUAACAAAUCACUUCUUUUAAUUCAAAGCUGCUCCUCCUAAACUAAUCAAAUUUUAAAAUUUUGUAGUGGACCACGCCUACACGUAACCGCUAAGAUAAUUAUCUGUUAUGUUGUCGCAGUGGGAAUUUUAUACUGAGAGUAGUAACAA